CUAAAGAUGACGACCGGCGAACGGGUGCGUAACGCGUAUAGAAUCCACCUCUUACUAAGGGAUAGCCCAGAGAAAUUUGGAUUAAUACCUUAUGGUAUGCAGACUUGGCAUCAAGACUGCAUUAAAGAUUACGGUAGGAGAUGACUAUGCGUCCUAUUAGCUAGAUGGUGUGGUAACGGCACACCAUGGCAACGAUAGGUAGGGGCCCUGAGAGGGGGAUCCCCCACACUGGUACUGAGACACGGACCAGACUCCUACGGGAGGCAGCAGUGAGGAAUAUUGGACAAUGGAGGCAACUCUGAUCCAGCCAUGCCGCGUGCAGGAAGACUGCCCUAUGGGUUGUAAACUGCUUUUAUACAGGAAGAAACACUGCUACGUGUAGCAGCUUGACGGUACUGUAAGAAUAAGGAUCGGCUAACUCCGUGCCAGCAGCCGCGGUAAUACGGAGGAUCCAAGCGUUAUCCGGAAUCAUUGGGUUUAAAGGGUCCGUAGGUGGAUAAUUAAGUCAGAGGUGAAAUCCUGCAGCUCAACUGUAGAAUUGCCUUUGAUACUGGUUAUCUUGAGUUAUUAUGAAGUAGUUAGAAUAUGUAGUGUAGCGGUGAAAUGCAUAGAUAUUACAUAGAAUACCAAUUGCGAAGGCAGAUCACUAA
rnacentral:rRNA from 1 species